rnacentral:misc_RNA from 1 species
CUGGCUGUGAACAUGGUGCC